GUCCUACGGGGGGCUGCAGUGGGGAAUAUUGGACAAUGGGCGCAAGCCUGAUCCAGCAAUUCCGCGUGGGUGAAGAAGGUCUUCGGAUUGUAAAGCCCUUUCGGCAGGGACGAUGAUGACGGUACCUGCAGAAGAAGCCCCGGCUAACUUCGUGCCAGCAGCCGCGGUAAUACGAAGGGGGCUAGCGUUGCUCGGAAUGACUGGGCGUAAAGGGCGCGUAGGCGGUUUGCACAGUCAGGCGUGAAAUUCCUGGGCUUAACCUGGGGGCUGCGUUUGAUACGUGUAGACUUGAGGGUGGAAGAGGCUCGUGGAAUUCCCAGUGUAGAGGUGAAAUUCGUAGAUAUUGGGAAGAACACCGGUGGCGAAGGCGGCGAGCUGGUCCAUUUCUGACGCUGAGGCGCGAAAGCGUGGGGAGCAAACAGGAUUAGAUACCCGUGUAGUCA
rnacentral:rRNA from 1 species